GACGAACGCUGUCGGCGUGCUUAACACAUGCAAGUCGAACGGAAAGGCCCUGCUUUUGUGGGGUGCUCGAGUGGCGAACGGGUGAGUAACACGUGAGUAACCUGCCCUUGACUUUGGGAUAACUUCAGGAAACUGGGGCUAAUACCGGAUAGGAGCUCCUGCUGCAUGGUGGGGGUUGGAAAGUUUCGGCGGUUGGGGAUGGACUCGCGGCUUAUCAGCUUGUUGGUGGGGUAGUGGCUUACCAAGGCUUUGACGGGUAGCCGGCCUGAGAGGGUGACCGGCCACAUUGGGACUGAGAUACGGCCCAGACUCCUACGGGAGGCAGCAGUGGGGAAUAUUGCACAAUGGGCGGAAGCCUGAUGCAGCAACGCCGCGUGCGGGAUGACGGCCUUCGGGUUGUAAACCGCUUUCGCCUGUGACGAAGCGUGAGUGACGGUAAUGGGUAAAGAAGCACCGGCUAACUACGUGCCAGCAGCCGCGGUGAUACGUAGGGUGCGAGCGUUGUCCGGAUUUAUUGGGCGUAAAGGGCUCGUAGGUGGUUGAUCGCGUCGGAAGUGUAAUCUUGGGGCUUAACCCUGAGCGUGCUUUCGAUACGGGUUGACUUGAGGAAGGUAGGGGAGAAUGGAAUUCUUGGUGGAGCGGUGGAAUGCGCAGAUAUCAGGAGGAACACCAGUGGCGAAGGCGGUUCUCUGGGCCUUUCCUGACGCUGAGGAGCGAAAGCGUGGGGAGCGAACAGGCUUAGAUACCCUGGUAGUCCACGCUGUAAACGGUGGGUACUAGGUGUGGGGUCCAUUCCACGGGUUCCGUGCCGUAGCUAACGCUUUAAGUACCCCGCCUGGGGAGUACGGCCGCAAGGCUAAAACUCAAAGGAAUUGACGGGGCCCCGCACAAGCGGCGGAGCAUGCGGAUUAAUUCGAUGCAACGCGUAGAACCUUACCUGGGUUUGACAUGGAUCGGGAGUGCUCAGAGAUGGGUGUGCCUCUUUUGGGGUCGGUUCACAGGUGGUGCAUGCCUGUCGUCAGCUCGUGUCGUGAGAUGUUGGGUUAAGUCCCGCAACGAGCGCAACCCUUGUUCACUGUUGCCAGCACGUUAUGGUGGGGACUCAGUGGAGACCGCCGGGGUCAACUCGGAGGAAGGUGGGGAUGACGUCAAGUCCUCAUGCCCCUUAUGUCCAGGGCUUCACGCAUGCUACAAUGGCUGGUACAGAGAGUGGCGAGCCUGUGAGGGUGAGCGAAUCUCGGAAAGCCGGUCUCAGUUCGGAUUGGGGUCUGCAACUCGACCUCAUGAAGUCGGAGUCGCUAGUAAUCGCAGAUCAGCAACGCUGCGGUGAAUACGUUCCCGGG
rnacentral:rRNA from 1 species